GGACUCGGACUGACUUUGUUGCCUCUCAGCUUGCAGACGGCCUAUUGUGGGACUUCACGUCGUGAUCGUGUGCGUCAGUUCUCCUUAAUAAACUCCCCGUCAUGUAUACAUCUAUCCUAUUAGUCCUGUUCCUCUAGAGAACCCUGACUCAUACAGAGAGGAAGGCAUCCAGAACAGAACUGAAGUUGAACAGGAGCAGAUGGGAAGACAGGAUAUCAAGUUCCAGGCUUGGGGUGUAGACAGAGAACAGGAGCUGCUAAAAUGGAGAGCCAUAGAGCAGGUGGGGAGCGUCCUGUGGGCACAGAGUUCACCUGGUUCCUUUAGGGAAGCUGUAUUUGUCCCUUUUCAUGCUGCGGAUAAAGAUAUACCUGAGACUGGGUGAUUUACAAAAGGAAGCGGUUUAAUGUUUAAUGCACUUAGAGUUGCAGGUGGUUGAGGCUUCACAGUCAUAGUAGAGGGCAAGGAGGAGCAAGUCAUGUCUUACAUGAUGGCAGCAGGCAAAGAGAAUGAGAGCUUGUGCAGCGGAACUUCUCUGUAUAAAACCAUCAGAUCUCAUGAGACUUAUUCGCUAUCAGGAGAACAGCACGGGAAAAACAUGCCCCCCGUGAUUCAGUUACCUCCCACAGCAUUCCUCUCACAACACCUGGGAAUUCAAGAUGAGAUUUGGGUGGGGACGCAGCCAAAUCGUAUCAGAAGGCCUGCUCCAAGUUCCGGUUUCUCAAGGAGCAUUUGUACAUCAGAUGUCCUCAGGCUCUGUCUACUGCAGUCUACUUCCUUUGCAGUCUUGUUCCCACUGGAAUCUGAGUCUCUUUGCAAUCCACAAAUCCUAAGGAGUGAGCUAACCUGGACACUCCUGACUGGGCUGGGGUGAGUAUUCGGCCACUGGUCUGAUUGGCUGGUGACCCAGGAGAUGGCCUUCCCCAGGCCCUGCAGCUGAGUGGCAGCACCUCAUGCCACAGUGACAGUAAGAAUGAGUGCCGUGGGCUCAAGUGCACCGAGUCCUCCGUGCAUCGCCGUCCGCGAGAAACGCUUUCGAGUCUGUGUGUUCUGGCUGCCUCGGUAUAUGCAUACUUUGUUUAGUUGUCAAUUUGGAGGAUUUCUUCUGCAACCAAAAUUUCUAUCUUCUUCUUUCUGCUUUGUCCUCAGAACAAAUCCUUGGUAUUUAGGAGACGUGUACACGUCUCUGUUUCUUGAGGAAGAGUUUUCUUCUGCUGUUGUCCUGCUUCUAACUCUUGCUUCCCAUUUGGGAGAUUCUCUGCCUCAUGCGUGGUGGUGGGAGAAUACUCUGCUCACCGGAGUGGAUGGAAGCCCUCGUUCUAAGCCUCUUCUCAGCUGGGGGCAUCUGGAGCACCCAUUCUGGGCUUGGGCACAGGUGCCAGUGGCAGAGAGAAGUGAGGACAUCAUGGAAUUCGUUCCGGCUGGGGAGCUACAGCUCAGCAAUACUCAGCGAUACUCAGAGCUGUUUUUGAAAUGCAACAUGUAAUUCCUUCCCUGCAGAGCCUGGGCAAGAAUUCCUCUCAAGCCUGUACCCCUUUGAGCCUCACUACUUGAGUAUUCAAAGCUAGAGGACAGCAAUGUUGCUGUUUCAUACGUCGCUGCGAGCAACACCUCUGCAGCCUUGUGAUGAGGAAGGAACAAUUUAGAGCCUUUUCUGCCCACUGAUCCUUGCCUGCUGAAGAUAUCAAGUCUCUAAGGCUACAUUGACACUAUCUACAUAUCACAGACAUGGAUGAAAGAUCAUGUUUCUCAGACAUCAAGUUAAAAACCGAUAAUGACCACAGUCAUGAAAGAACAUUCAGCCUGAGAGAAAAGGGGUUAACACACAGGGAAGAUAAUGACCGUGAGACCCGCCAGCUGCAG